AGCGGGGUAGAGUAAUUGGUUGACUCGUUAGGCCCAUGACCUGAAGACUGCAGGUUCGAACCCUGCCCCUGCCU
rnacentral:tRNA from 1 species